rnacentral:rRNA from 1 species
AGUGAACGCUGGCGGUAGGCCUAACACAUGCAAGUCGAACGGCAGCACAGUAAGAGCUUGCUCUUACGGGUGGCGAGUGGCGGACGGGUGAGGAAUACAUCGGAAUCUACUUUUUCGUGGGGGAUAACGUAGGGAAACUUACGCUAAUACCGCAUACGACCUACGGGUGAAAGCAGGGGAUGUUCGGACCUUGCGCGAUUGAAUGAGCCGAUGUCGGAUUAGCUAGUUGGCGGGGUAAAGGCCCACCAAGGCGACGAUCCGUAGCUGGUCUGAGAGGAUGCUCGGCCACACUGGAACUGAGACACGGUCCAGACUCCUACGGGAGGAAGCAGUGGGGAAUAUUGGACAAUGGGCGCAAGCCUGAUCCAGCCAUACCGCGUGGGUGAAGAAGGCCUUCGGGUUGUAAAGCCCUUUUGUUGGGAAAGAAAAGCAGCAGGUUAAUACCCCGCUGUUCUGACGGUACCCAAAGAAUAAGCACCGGCUAACUUCGUG